rnacentral:ncRNA from 1 species
AUCGAAGUACGGCGGGCGCGCCGUACAUACAGCCGCCAUGGCAUCUGCGGAUAUAGCCGGAAUACAGGAUGACCGAUCCGUAAGCCGCAGAGUAAGUCCCCCAG